rnacentral:rRNA from 1 species
UACGAAGGGUGCAAGCGUUACUCGGAAUUACUGGGCGUAAAGCGCACGUAGGCGGUUCGUUAAGUCGGAUGUGAAAGCCCUCGGCUCAACUGAGGAAGUGCACCCGAAACUGGCGAGCUUGAGUACGAAAGAGGAUCGCGGAAUUCCCGGUGUAGAGGUGAAAUUCGUAGAUAUCGGGAGGAACACCGGUGGCGAAGGCGGCGAUCUGGGUCGAUACUGACGCGUGAGGUGCGAAAGCGUGGGGA